UUUUUUGUUUUUUGUCUUUUUGCUAUUUCCUGGGCCGCUCCCGUGGCAUAUGGAGGUUCCCAGGUGAGCCCUAAAACAGAAAAAAAAAAAUUGAAAACAGUUCUUCCCAGCUCAUUUAUGCUCAAGGCCUGGGGUUUGCUCUCGGCCCUGUGUGUCCCUGAUGAGGGAAGAGGUCCCCUGGGAGCCGCUAGCCUGGGCUCAGGCCCCGCUGAGCAGAAACCAGCUCAGCCCAGGCCUCCAGGCAUCAUGUGCGUGGGGGCGACGCCGGCUGGAGGCCCGAGACCAGGCCCCCCCACUUCUGAUCCAGCCCAGCCCUGCCCUGUGGGGUGAGUGAAGGGCAGGGGGCCACAGGGCCGGUGUCCCCACCUUGAAGGGACAGAGCCUGCACAGGUGCAUGCAGUUCGGCCCACAGUCGGGACCUAACGGCGGCCCAGUGAGCGAAAGAGUAAAAUGAAAACCUGGCUUCGGCUCAAGGGUCUAAACUUCGUCCGGCCCAGGAAGGGCCAUGGCAUCAGCGAGGCUGGUGCCCUCGCCAGGCGGGCUGACGCUCUCUUGAGCUAGGUUUGCGUGUGCUGGGCGUCUGCCGCAUGUGUGCCACCGCGGGGGACACGCCCCCCUUGCAGGCGCACCCGGACACCCCUCCUCAGCACCGCCACCAGACACUCACCCUCUGACACCCCAGCUGGGGCUCUUCUAGAACGUCACGCAGACGGACGCUCCGUGAACGCUUCCGCGUCUUCUCCGCGCCACACCGCACCUUCGUGAAGCACGUCUGCUGUCGCCGUUUCAGUCGCUUAUUCCCUGUUACUGUCGCGAAGUCCAGCGUCUUUCCCCUGGUAGUGACCUUUCCGGGGGGCGGGGGGGAUGCAGCGGAGCCGAGGCGGGGCUCGCGGACGCAAGAGGCCGGAGGCCCCGGGAGCCGGGCUGGGCGGUGCAGCCGAGAGCCGCUGGAUUCAAGCCCAAGAGGAGCCGAGGUGCCAGUCGAGACGGAAGGCAGGACAAGCCAUGUCCCCAGGCAGAGGACAUCAGGCGGGAGCGUUCGCUCUCACUCCUGGAGGGUCAGGUGCCCCGGAUGGGGCGGGCCCUCGAGGUGUCCAGACUCCCUGUCACCCUCACCCAGAAACCCCCUCCCAGACACCCCAGAAUCACGUCUGCCCAGAGAUCGGGCACGUCACGCAUGGCACGGGCACGUGGACACGUGAAGUGAACCGUCACUGAUGGCUCCCAGCGGGUUACACACGCCUGUGCACACGUCUUUUGGGAGGCGGGUUUCAGCUCCGAGAGUGCGGGGGCCGCGCUGCAGCGCGAGCAUCUUUUACAGUUUUCGGAGAACUGGCACAGCGCUGGCCGAAGAGGCAACGCGUCAGAGGGGAAACGUCCCCGACGGCAGGAGGGUCUCGGCAGCGGCCUCGUUCUUCGAUUGAAAACAGAGGAAUCAUGAAACACGCAGGAAGAGCUCGGAUUCCCUCACACGCUGUUCUCCUGACAUUCUUACUAGAUUAGACCUUUGUCGUCUUUUGGGAACCUGAGUGUGUCGGCGGCCACGACGAGGCUGCCUAACAGGCGGGGAGUCCACAGGAAACCCCGGUUCUGUUUAUACCCAGGGCUCCGCUCGUCUGGGACGCCCUGCGGGCAAGGUCAGGACGGUGGUCCCCGCAGGCUGGCCAGGUGGCCAGACUGCCUCAGGAGGUGCAAGUUGCUGGCUGAUGGGACAGGAUGUCUGCUCAACAAGUCUGGCCCGAGGCUCCAUUCUGCGCCCUCCCCACCAAGGUGGCCCAGGCCCCAGGGGCUGGACACACCCCUGCACCCCCAAGCCUCUGCUGUGUCCCAUCCACUGACCUCCACGGCCAAGGCAGACGCUCACAAUCAGGGGGUCCCCCCUCCCCCGUCAUGGCUCAUCAGUAACAAACCCAACUAGUGUCCAUGAGGAUGCAAGUUUGAUCCCUGGCCUCGCUCAGUGGGUGAAGGAUCCGGCGUCGCCGUGAGCUGUGGUGCAGGUCGCGCAGACGGGGCUUGGAUCUGGCAGUGCUGUGGCUCUGACAUGGGCCUGCCGCUGCAGGUCUGAUUUUUAUCGGAAGUGCCAUCAGCUCCUUGGUGAGAACCCGGGCUCAGGGUGGAGACACAGCCGUGGCCCCGCCAGGAAGCAGUGUCACCCAGCGCGUCGCACUUCCUGUGAGGAGACAGAGGGUCAGGGGUCCUGCGGGGAGAUGAGCGAUGCCCUGGGAUUGGGGGAGCCACGGCGCCCUGUGCCUCUGAUCCCCGCCAGCCGCCCAGCACCAGGGCCAGGGCUUCUAGAACGGCAGCCUGCCCUUGAAGCCCCAGAGGCGCUUCUUUUCCAGAUCUUUAUGUUGCCAAAUGUUGCACACGCUGGGGCGUACACCUAAGCCCUGGGCACCCAAUGCAAAGAGUAACAAAAGCUGCACUGAGGCACCUGCCCCCUUCCCCCCCGAGGAAGACACACCAGAUCACUACCACCUGCAAAGGGCACCCCCACCAAGGCCGCCUGAUCCUGGCGGCCUCCGUCCCAACCAGGUGACUUCAUCUCAUUUCCGAAGUCCCCUGUUGUUCUUACUGGGUUUUAUCACAGAUGCAGGUGGCCCUAAGCAAUAAGCAUUGUUUGGCUCUCCUUUUAUUCUGGAAUCAACAAGUAUACAUUCCUGUGAAACUUGCUUUUCUUUCCUUGAAACUGUUUCUGGGAUGAAUCCAAGUGGGGGAAUCAGGGUGUGGUUGGCUCAUUCGCGUUGCUGAUACCAUCCUGCUGUGUCCAUUCUGUUUACUGCUGUGGGCCAGCUUCCAGGUGGAUCCUGCUUCAGGCCAAUGUAACCAAGGGAGCCGGAACACACCUGUGCACACCUCAGGCUCCGGGGCAAGAGUCUCCCUGUCUGACGCAUCUGAAAACAAAGCCCAUUUGGUGUUUCCAGGUUCACUUCUAUUAGGAAAUGCCAAAUUAUUUUACCAAACGAUCACAGGCUACGAAGAAACAGCAUCAGUAAUAAAGAUUAAAGCUAAAAGAAUAGGAGUUCCCGUCGUGGCACAGCAGAAACGAAUCGGACUGGGAACCAUGAGCCAUGACGGGAACGCCUAACCUCAAUCGUUUUCAUGUUCGGUCUGAAAGCUGUUUUUGCUGCCUUUUAGGCAUGGAGGUCUAUCUGACUGGCAUUCAUUCAUCCCCUCUCUCUUCUUCCUCACCCACCUCUUGCUCCCACAGGAUAAUCCCAGCCUCUGCAGUUUUCACUGCUCGGCGUCUGAACUUGGCUCCCGAGACGGUCGGCAUUGUUUGCUGUGCAUUGAGGGAUGUGUACUGUCAGCAUUUGCUCUUUAGAACUUUUCCGCUGAAUUUCUUUGAGGGCUGGUUGUGAACGCAGCACUUUGUGCUGCAUGGUGGCUCCGGUUCCCUCAGGCAGCUCAGAAGGCGUCACUUCCGACCGCCCACUGUGCGAACGAAGUUUGUGGUUUGUAUUUCCCGGGAGAGAGUGAAUCAGAGAUCUUUCACCCCAACACAGCUUCCAUUCGAAGGGGAGGAGACGGAUGAGCAGAACUCAGGGUGGCAAACAAGAUAAUGACCCCAUACUGAGAAGAUUUCUUUCAAAGAAAAAGCAGAGCCCCGUCAGUCGUCGAGGCAGCGGGAAGGUGGCAAAGAGCCGACAGCUCUGACAGGGUUGCCCCCCGCCGGGGAAAUGAUGCCAGAGCCAGGCCUAUAGGAGCUGAGGGCCAGCUGCUGUCUCCCGGUCCUUGGCGGCACAGCAGGGGACACUGCAGGGGUGGGGUGAAGAGGUCAGACUCCAGAGAAAACUAAAGCCAAAGCCAUGGUGACAACCUGUCAGAUUCAUGAUGCAAAGUGGAGAGGAAGAGUGGGGUCAGAGCGGAAUCAUUUUAGUUCAUGACCUCAUAGGAGGCACUCCAGUUAAAAGUAACGUCCAUCCCAAAAGCCCCAUAGGCACCCAAAGGCCAGCUCCCCAGGCAGCUACACACCCAGCUGAAAUAUCAGAAGGCGGGAAUUAGAAAUUCCUUCCCGACGCCAAAGACUUCAAGAAACUGCCUUAAUCCCUCCCUGCUCAGUGGACGGCGCAUCCUGCCCAGGUCACUUGUAAGUAUAGCUCAUUCUCAUUGCAGAUUUGCAGCCUGAAUUCCCACUCCUACUUCAACAAACCCCUCCCAGUGUGUGGGGAUGGGGGCAUUUACGGUGACUCCAAACAGGGAAAAUCCCCCGCUGACCCUCUAGAGGAGCAGAUGCUUCAGUUGCUACUGCAGAGCAAAGUGUCUCUUUCCCUUUGAACAGCCAGAAACAUUCAUUUCUGCAGGUGCUGCCACAGAGCUCACAGAUCAAACUCGUUACAUGCUCAAAAGAAAGAGGCUUCAUAAGUGAGAAUAAACAGAAACAACAGCUAGCAGAAAUAGACCUGCAAGGGCUGCAGACUUUAGAAUUAUCAGACUGACAUUGACUUCUGGGUACUGUGUCUAAAGAACUAAAAGGCGAGAUCAAAAAUGUAUGUAGAGAACAAGCAAUUAUAAAUAAUGACCUCAUAGAAACUCCAGACAUUUAAAAAAAUAAUACUUGAAACUUGAGACUCAAUGGACAGCUUUUGCACACUGCUGAAGAAACAGAUACAGGUGGAGAAAUGACCAGAAUGCUGCACUGAAAGCCAGAGAAAUGAGCAGUAUGAAGAGAGGUUCAAGGACAUGAAGUUCACAAAGAAAAGGUCUCAGGUGUGUCUAGUCAGUAACCAGAAGGACAGGAAACAGAGAAGGAGCAGAGACAAUAUUUGAAGAGAUUACGGCUGAUAAUUUGCCAGGGUUCUUGAAAGAUCCUAAGCAUGGAUUCAAAAGCCUAAUUAGAUCUCAAGUCUAGGGGGGAAAAGUCUACACCAAGACACGAUGGUAAACAGCAAAGCGUGAAAAAAACACAAAGGACAUUUAAAAUCCUUGCGAACAUUUUGGUUUAUUUCCUUGGAGCUAUUUUCCAAGUGUAUCUUUACACAAAACUGAGAUCCGAGUUCCCGUGGUGGCUCAGUGGCAAUGAACCUGACUAGAAUCCAUAAGGAUAUGGGUUCCAUCCCUGGCCUGGCUGGGUGGGUUAAGGAUCCAGCAUUGCCGUGAGCUGUGACAGAGGUCACAGAUGCGACUUGGAUCCUGAGUGUCUGUGGCAGUGGUGUAGGCCAGCAGCUGCAGCUCUGAAGGAACCCUUAGCCUGGGAACUUCCAUAGGCUGCAGGUGCAACCCUAAACAGAAAAAAAAAAAAAAAUCAUACCAUUUCUUCUGAUAUUGUUUCCCUAAUAUACUGGGAACAUUUCUCUAGGUUAGUACAUUUCCUUCAAAAUCAUAAUUUUAAAUGCUUCCCGGCAUUCCACUGUAUAAACACAUGGCAAUUUGUUUAAGGAGAAUCCAAUUCUUGGACAUUUAAGUUGUUUCCACGUUUUGGCUGUUUAGAUAGUGCGUGUUGCACACAAAUCUUUUCCACAUUACUUUUUCUUUCGGACAAAUUCCUAGCAGUGCAAUUGCUGGGUCAAAAGAUACAAACGUCGCUGAGACUCCUGAUGUGUUUGCCAUGCUCUCCAAAGAGCCGUGGCUCUCCUGUGGGGGGACGUGGCCCCAUGCAGCACCACGGUGGUUUGGUGGACACGCCUCCCAAGUUACGGGCUCUCACUUAGGCAACAAAGCGCCAGCAGAAGACCUGACACUUCUAAACUAAUAGGUUUAGAACACAUCCCACGCAGGAACACAAGCCACCCGAGUCCCUCAGGGACAGAAAAAAUCCGAACACUUGAAAACCUUCUCAGCUAUUGUAAACCUUUGCUUCCCAGUUUUCCAGAAUGGCUAUGCUCCAGUCGCUGGAACAAAACAUUUUAAAAUGCAACUGUCAUCUGUUCUAUGCCUCCAAGAGCCCGGCAGUGUGUUUGUAAUAAAGGGGGUCUUAGUCCCCACCAUGUGACCCGGGCGCUCUCCGCACAGGGCAGCCUCUAAUCACAGCCUGAUCUCGCUUCGCAUUGCUCUCUGCCUGGCCUGCGUGACCCUGCUUACUGAAGCCUUUUCAUUGUGCUGGGUCAAAGGAUGAGGGAUUGAGCGGAAACAAAAGUGGGUUUGAGGCUCGUUUGUGCGCCAUGUGCUCAGUCCGGGGACCGCAAACCAACGGGAAGACUCUGGAGUCCAGCCAAGGCACCUGACGGAACACUGACUUCCCGAAGGUACGCCCGGUGCGUCUCAACAGCAUCACGACCCGCCCAGGUUGCAAGAGAAAGGUCCCUCUGUCCCCAGGAAAGGCACGGCUAGCUGGGUACCCCAGGCUCAGUCAAAUUUUCAGCAAAGAGCUGGAGACUAAGUGUUUCAGUUUGUCAAGCCAGGGUCUCUGGUGCAGCUACUCUGCUCUGU
rnacentral:lncRNA from 1 species